rnacentral:rRNA from 1 species
CUCGUAGGCGGUUCGUCGCGUCCGGUGUGAAAGUCCAUCGCCUAACGGUGGAUCCGCGCCGGGUACGGGCGGGCUUGAGUGCGGUAGGGGAGACUGGAAUUCCCGGUGUAACGGUGGAAUGUGUAGAUAUCGGGAAGAACACCAAUGGCGAAGGCAGGUCUCUGGGCCGUCACUGACGCUGAGGAGCGAAAGCGUGGGGAGCGAACAG